AGCAGAGAGCGGGAGGCAGGCAUUGUGAUCCCUGUGCACUACAGUAGCUGGUGUUCUAAAGAUGCCCUGCGUGGCAUGGCCUCAUAUUCUGGAGCCAAACAGACUUCUGGGGGGAUGGUGUCUCCGUUUCCCCAACCCCAGGGGCCCAGCUGGGAGGAGACAGCAGGCAAGGGUGUCCCCUGCUGAUCUUUCCACAAGACCUGCACUCAGUCCCCACAUCAAUGGGCACUGCCCACCCAGACAGCACCUACUCCUGUGGGCAGCACCCAGAACCGGUGCUCACGAUGGGGAAGUCAGGACUUUGGAGAAGCGGGAAACUGGAGCCCGAGGGCAGGGUGCUCAGGAGAGACCCAUCCAGACAGCAAUGCUCAAGGCCAAGUGAGACCAACGACCUGGAAUCCAGGGAGAAAACAGUGCCAGGUACUGACCACACAUGGGACGAGGGUGCUGACCAGAGGGAUGAGGGCACUGACCACAAACAGGGACGAGGAAACUGACCACACACAGGGUGAGGGUGCUGACCACACACAGGACGAGGGCACUGAGCAUGUACACAGGAUCAGGUAUCAUAGGAGGGAGUGAAGAACUCCCAGCAAAAUCCAGGAAGGAGCACGGCAGAGAGACCUGGGUGUGGACGGAGAGACCCGGGUGUGGACAGAGCACUGCAGAGAGACCCAGGUGUGGACAGAGAGACCCGGGUGUGGACAGAGAGACCCGGGUGUGGACAGAGACCUGGGUGUGGACAUGUUCUUCUGUCAUGGGGAGGAAGAGAAGGGAGAGCAAGAAGGCAGAGGAGAGGAAACAGGAGGGAGCGAGGGAGGGCGAGAGGGAGAACACCCCUCUGUAGUAAGAGAUGCAUCUCGGGCAAGCUGCGUCCUUCCUCUGCUGGAGGCCCCCAUUGCUCUACUGUGCUGGGUGGUGUCGGCAGGGUGGCAGAUAGAGGGGUCUCCUGGGCCAGCCCAUGUGUCCCAGGAGUGAGGUCCACUCCCGCUGGGCCAGCCCAUGUGUCCCAGGAGUGAGGUCCACCCCCGCUGGGCCAGCCCAUGUGUCCCAGGAGUGAGGUCCACCCCCGCUGGGCCAGCCCAUGUGUCCCAGGAGUGAGGUCCACUCCUGCUGGCGACAUGAGCAGUGCUUUCUCUAGAGGGUAUGGGGAGGCAGAGGAAGCCCCUGCUCUUCCAAGCAGCAAGGAAGGGUGAUAGCCUGCACCCUUCAGGCCUUCACCAUGGCUGCACUCUCUUCUGAGUGUAAGAAGCUUCUACUGUAACAGACCCUGGCAAGCAGGAGCUGCGAUGGGGCAGCCCAGACCCAAGGCACAGGGAGCUGAGCCCGGGGCAGGCCAGGGCUGGGACCCUGCAGGGGCCGAUGUAGGGCUGUAGUCAUUACAGGUGCUCGGUGGCCUCCCUACGAGGGCAGAGCCCAUCCUCAGGAACGGUCACCACCGGCCUGGCCUCCGCUUCUUCCCUGGGCAGUGUCUCCCUCACACCAUCUCUGAGCCUCAGCCCUGUCUGUUCAGUGAGGGGCUGAACCGCUGCUCCCAGAGGCCCCUCUGCCUGGGCAGCGUCCGGCCUCAGGCCCUGACUGCAGGACGUUUGCAGGACGAUGCCUCCUGCCUCCCUCCGGGGACAAUCUCUCACAUCCUCCCUGUUCCUUUCCAUGUGGCCUCUGGCCGCCUCGCAUCUGAACUGCUGAAGUCCUGUUUCUCUGGGCCUCAUCCUCUCCUCCAUCAAAAUGAGGAACCGUGGACUGCAGGAGCAUUGAGGAAGCCACGUGGAGUCCCCGCUCUGUGUUGAGCCCCGUAGGGUGCCCUUCCUGUGGGCGGCCAUUCUGGGCGUGGCGCCCCCUGUCUGAAAUCAGCAGCACACCAGCUCCCUGUGCUCCGUGUGACAAGCUGCCAGGGACAAAGAGAGACUCCCCUGGGACCACAGCAGUAGGCACGGCAUUCCUGUGACAGAAAUCAAUGCCACAGAUCGAGGGAUGGAGCCACCGGCUCCCCAGGCUGAGUCCCCUUCCGGUAACACGGCCACACUCCUUCCUCCCUCCAAGAAGAUCCCAGGGAGGGCGAUCCCGCCUGGAUGCGUUCCUCACUCCCUUUCAGGUGGCCCCAGACGCUGGGCAUUGGGAGGUGGCCACAUGGGGACAUGGACAUGAAGGCUGGGUAAGUGUGGGGACCAGGCGAGCUGGCUGCUGGACACCCACCCACCCUGUGAGCUGCACCAGACCCUACUCUCUGUGCUCUGGACCCCAGGAAGCAGUCAGGAUUGGGGGGGUCCCACUCACAGGCCCCGGCGCCUUCCACCUGGGCAGCUGCCAUGUGCACCCUCAGGCUUCAGACUCCUGGCCACGGGGGCGGUGGUGUGGACCCCAGGCCGUGUGUGCAGAUGCAGCAAGGUGACAUCAGCCAUACAUUCACUGCGUCACUCCUCACCCAGCUCCUUCUCAGAGCCUCACUCGGAACAGCACAUCUCCCAUCUCAGCUGCCCUGGCCACUUCUGUGUAGGAGGCAGGAGGGAUACUCCCACCACCCCGACCCUUACAGAUAACAGGCUCAGAAAGGCACCUGACCCCACAGCCCUUCAGUUGGGUUUGAACCUGGGUUGCUUGGUUUCAAAGCACAGGGGUUUGUCCUGCCCAGUCACACCCCUCAAAGUGUGGAUGUGGGAAACACCGCUGAGGAGCCUGGACAUCCAGGAGGGCUCAGGAGACCCUUCCUGACUGCACCCCGGACAGGCCCACGACAGGCAGAUGGGACACAGGUCAGGAUGUGGCAGGCACACGGCCUGGCUUCUAGACACUUCUCAGACCUGGGAGAGGAGAGAGGGACAGGUGGUGUGGGCGUGCUGGAGGCGGGAAGGGGAUAAGAGUGUUGGUUAUCACGGGCAAUGUGGACACACGGCCAGGACAGGGGUCCACAGUAUUUCAGGAACCUCCCACAAGACGAAACUUCUAGACAGACUUCCCUCCCUGUGAGAUACCUUAGGCUGUAGUGGAGAGGUCGCUGAAAGAAUCGAUAUUUCUAGAAAUUAGCUUUGGGAUCAGUUUGCGAAGCUGCAUCUAUGCUGACAAGUGAAUGAAGCCCGUGGGCAGGGAAUACACUGAGGCCUUAGGCCUGCAGAAGAGCACAGGUGCACCUGCGCCACAUGGGCCAGAAUCAACCCAGGUGAAUUCCAGCCCAUGCCAUUGAUGCCAACCAUGGACGAGGAAUCCAGCUGGGGCUGAAGUUCCGCUACGCUGUCAGUUCCACUGGGGAUGUGUGUUGCUCCUUCAGCCUCUGCCAGACACACAGGCCCGGUUCCAGCACCCGGGUGUUUGAGGCCAGUGUGUGAGUCAGCCAGGGAGCCUCAGCCUUUCCCACUGGCUUCAAAAAGAUGUGGAGGCUGAUGGGGAGGAGGAAGGUUCCCCAGAGCAGGAGGCCAUCUGAUGUAAUGAACAUGCCUUCCUAAGACGCUGCCUGGGCCGCAGCCAAGUGUGGUCGCUCUCUGAGCAAUCGAUGCUGCCACAAAAGGUCCUGGCAGCAGCGGCACGACCCCUGCACCCCGCCUGCUGCAUCCAGGACAGCGCCGGCCUCCCACGGCGGCUCCCGGGAGAAGAGGAGACGCCACUUUGGCUGCUGUCCCGGGGAGAGGGGGGACAGUCCUUCGACUUCAUGCAGGGGCUUGUCAACCCCAAAGCUUCCUCCGCCGCCAUCUGGGUCUGACGCUCUCCGCUGGAAGGUGUUCAGGAGCUGGCACCCCACGU
ensembl:lncRNA LINC01310 long intergenic non-protein coding RNA 1310